AAAUGUUUGGAUUGAAAAUAUCCCAGUGAGGAACAUAGAAAAGAAACACAGCCAUGUAAAUGAGGGAGACUCGUUGGGAGAUGGAGCUGUGUGGCCUGUGUUUGGAAGGGUUUCCUGAGGUCAGGAGCAUGUGACCUCUAGGGAAACUAAUCAAACACCCAGGAGGAACUGUAGGUUUGAGAAAAUCUCAGCGUUCAAUACCCUCUCCCAGAAUCAUCCAAAGGAAUAUUAGUAACACGACAGCCUACACUCCUGCUUUUCUCCUCAACCACACAAAACCCUAAAGUUCAACUUUCAUUACUACAACAAUAUGCUGCUCUGUGCUCACACGACCAGCCGUCCACACCCGGACUAUUAUUUUCCAGUCGUUUCAUCUUCAGCCCCUGUGGUUCAAACACUAAAUCCCUGCGAGCGGUUGAGGGGAAACCGGCCCUGUAUUAUGGCAAACUAAGACAUAAGUGUGGCAAAUCCUCUGACCAUGAGCGCAGUAACUCUUUAACAGUCUUAUUCCGGCGUAACCGGAUUUUCUCUUUACAUCAUUACAUAAAGACUGUACUUCAUUAUGUGAUUUUAAUUGAUAGCAGCAGGGAGAAAAGACUGAAUAAAAAUUGCUCUGUGUGGGUAGACCAGGGCAAAUUAACCAUUUUAUUGAAAUAAUUACGCUGCCGAUUGUUAGAAUUAGGCACGGCAUGAAACAAUCAGUUAUAACAAGUCAGAGAAAUGAGUUAUUAUGUCAUUCAAAAGACAAAUUUAAUAGUUUUUCACACUGUGAAUAAGUGCAGCUUCAGUGGAAAUGGUAUUUUGUAGGAGAACCUAAAGUCUAAAUUAGGUGAAAUAAUGGAGGGAAAAAUUCAAUCACAAAUACUGUUUCUAUUGAAUCAUUAAACUGGAAGAAUAGACAUAAAAACUCCACUAUCAAUGGUGAAAAAAACCAACCCACACUGCGCUUAACAAAAGUCAAUAACGACUUAGUUGAACUAAAUCUAUAAUACUUACGGUAUUGUUUGUUUUAAUUGAGUUUUCGUUGUUUUCCAGUUCAGCCAGGAUGCGAAAUAAGCUCAAGAAAGACAAAAUUGAUUUUUUUUUUCAAGUUUCCUGGCAGUCUGCCCUGAUUUGCCUUCAGAUUUUAUAAGUGUGAAUGAGUUUUCAGGGACAGGAGGUUGGGGCGGUCAACCAUCAGAAGACCCUAAAACUUAAAAUAGAUUUAACUGUGGAAGAAACUGUUCGAUAAACACGCUGUUGUGCGGUCAUUAAUGUGAGAAAUUACUUUCUCUGCUCGCUCCCCUGAGUCCACUCUCUGGUGCAUUAACAUACAGUACAUGUAAAGAAGUGGUGAGAAAUGCAGUGGAGAAACACAGCCAAACAACUUUCAAAGAAUAUAUAAAUAUUUUUAAAAAUAUAUGUGAAUAAAAAAGUGUGGUUUCAGUUUGCUGUGGGAUCCUAAAUAUGUAGCAUAGAAGUUCUGGUCUCACGUGUCUCCUGUUGUGUGUGUCUCCGUGAGAUAAACCCUGACCUAGAGAUACCUGUGCAAAGUUUCCACCUGCCACAUCAGUUUGAGUGAAGCUGACACCGUGUAACACUGACCCAACCUGGGAAUGCAGUUGAGGACAAAACGUGUGUGAAAUUAGAAAAAUUCAGCUUCCAACGUACGUAGAGCUAAAAUGAUCAGCAAAAACUGAAUCAAUUUAAUUUGUCUUGAUAGAAACAUCUUGAAGUCCUGAAUGACAAAAUAAUUAGCUCUGUCAAAUGAUGGGGGAAAAAUAUAAACUGAUUAAUUACAGGGGUAGCUGUGGAUUAAUCAGGAUAAAUUGUGAUUGUAAUUAAUUAGGAUCAAUCAGGAGUAAUGCUGAUUAACCAAGAUAAAUUAACAUUCCUUAAAAUGACAAAAAAAACAAAACAUUAUUGUAUAAUGCUGUAACAGAAAGACAAAUAACAACAGGUUUACGACCUGUUUUUAUUCACAGCUAAUCAAAAUGAUUGAUUAAUAAUAUGAAAAUAUGUUGAAAAAAAAAAGUCACUAAUAUAGAAAAGAUCAACUGAUUACAUGACUGGACUGGGCUGGUGGAAGAUGUUGAGAGUUCAUUUCAACACUAACUUCAAAAUGAGCUAACCCAGAAAGGCAAUCAAAAUUUCUCAAAAAAGACAACUGAUAUUGUUCUUACAUUUUACACACACACGCAGACACACACGCAGACACACACACACUCUGGCUGUGUUUCUGGCUUGUCCGAGGCCUUGGACUCGAUCCCAGACACGAAACAGCACUUUGGCCACGACUGCAGCAGCCAAGUGGAUCAAGCCACUGGACAUUUACUGGCAUUGAUCGUAGACGACCAGAGUGGACUGUGUGUGUGUGUGUGUGUCACUGUGUGUGCGCGUGUGUGUUUUAAAAACAAAACAAAAGCCAGAAACUGAGAAACCACCCAGACGUAUACAAAGAAUCUUACAAAAGAGUAGCCAGACAGUUUGUGUUAACAAGAUCUGAGGAUGUGAUACCAUGUGACUGAAGCAGAAAACUGAAAGCGUGGCCUCACCUCUCUUUGAGAAAGUCCACCACUCUCUUGAAGUCAUUGAUGCAAUACUCUCUCUUCAUGUCCAUCAGUACGCUGUCAGAGGCCGACUGCACAGGAACAUGAAGGAAGGCGU